UACGUAGGGGCAAGCGUUGUCCGGAAUCAUUGGGCGUAAAGAGCGUGUAGGUGGCUCGGUAAGUCCGCUGUGAAAGUCCAGGCUCAACCCUGGAAUGCCGGUGGAAACUGUCGAGCUCGAGUCCGGAAGAGGCGAGUGGAAUUCCUGGUGUAGCGGUGAAAUGCGCAGAUAUCAGGAGGAACACCAAUGGACGAAGGCAGCUCGCUGGACGGUACUGACGCUGAGACGCGAAGCGUGGGAGCGAACGGAUAGAUACCCG
rnacentral:rRNA from 1 species